rnacentral:rRNA from 1 species
GAUUAACGCUGGCGGCGUGCAUAACACAUGCAAGUCGAACGAUGAAACUUAAAUGAUUUCUUCGGAAUGAACUUAAGUGGAUUAGUGGCGGACGGGUGAGUAACGCGUGAGUAACCUGCCUUACACAAGGGGAUAGCCGUUGGAAACGACGAAUAAUACCCUAUGAAACUAUCACUUCGCAUGAAGCGAUAGUCAAAGUGUUAGCGGUGUAAGAUGGACUUGCGUCUGAUUAGCUAGCUGGUGAGAAAAAAGCCCACCAAGGCAACGAUCAGUAGCCGGCUUGAGAGAGUGUACGGCCACAUUGGGACUGAGACACGGCCCAGACUCCUACGGGAGGCAGCAGUGGGGAAUUUUGCACAAUGGGGGAAACCCUGAUGCAGCGACGCCGCGUGAUUUAGAAGGCCUUCGGGUUGUAAAAAUCUUUUGUAUAGGAAGAAAAUGACAGUACUAUACGAAUAAGGUCCGGCUAAUUACGUG